ACAAUGCCUAAAUCCUUGCGGGUCUCAUUCGUGGGACUUGGCAAGGUAGUACCCUAGGUACUGCCUGGUGUGCAACUGAUUGCAGUUGGUGGGAGCCCACGUAUGGGUAGUGACUCUAGUGGGCAACCACCACACUUGUCCAAUCUUAGCUUCUAGUGAGCUUGACUUGGUCUAGCGAUAGGUCAAACCCAUGGGUAUAUAUA
rnacentral:misc_RNA from 1 species